rnacentral:rRNA from 1 species
CCUACGGGAGGCAGCAGUGGGGAAUAUUGCACAAUGGGGGAAACCCUGAUGCAGCGACGCCGCGUGAGUGAAGAAGUUUUUCGGUAUGUAAAGCCCUAUCAGCAGGGAAGAAAAUGACGGUAUCUGACUAAGAAGCCCCUGCUAACUACGUGCCAGCAGCCGCGGUAAUACGUAGGGUGCAAGCGUUAUCCGGAUUUACUGGGCGUAAAGGGAGCGUAGGCGGCAGAGCAAGUCUGAAGUGAAAGCCAGAGGCCCAACCGGGGGACUGCAUUGGAAACUGUCAGACUAGAGUGCUGGAGAGGUAAGUGGAAUUCCUAGGGUAGCGGUGAAAUGCGUAGAGAUUAGGAGGAACACCAGUGGCGAAGGCGACUUACUGGACAGUAACUGACGUUGAGGCGCGAAAGCGUGGGGAGCAAACAGGAUUAGAUACCCCUGUAGUC